rnacentral:rRNA from 1 species
GGAUGAACGCUGGCGGCGUGCCUAAUACAUGCAAGUCGAGCGAACAGACGAGGAGCUUGCUCCUCUGACGUUAGCGGCGGACGGGUGAGUAACACGUGGAUAACCUACCUAUAAGACUGGGAUAACUUCGGGAAACCGGAGCUAAUACCGGAUAAUAUAUUGAACCGCAUGGUUCAAUAGUGAAAGACGGUUUUGCUGUCACUUAUAGAUGGAUCCGCGCCGCAUUAGCUAGUUGGUAAGGUAACGGCUUACCAAGGCGACGAUGCGUAGCCGACCUGGGAGGGUGAUCGGCCACACUGGAACUGAGACACGGUCCAGACUCCUACGGGAGGCAGCAGUAGGGAAUCUUCCGCAAUGGGCGAAAGCCUGACGGAGCAACGCCGCGUGAGUGAUGAAGGUCUUCGGAUCGUAAAACUCUGUUAUUAGGGAAGAACAAAUGUGUAAGUAACUAUGCACGUCUUGACGGUACCUAAUCAGAAAGCCACGGCUAACUACGUG